CACGUAGGGCGCGAGCGUUGUCCGGAAUUAUUGGGCGUAAAGAGCUCGUAGGCGGCCUGUUGCGUCCGCUGUGAAAGCCCGGGGCUUAACCCCGGGUCGGCAGUGGAUACGGGCAGGCUAGAGGUAGGUAGGGGAGAAUGGAAUUCCCGGUGUAGCGGUGAAAUGCGCAGAUAUCAGGAGGAACACCGAUGGCGAAGGCAGAUCUCUGGGCCGUAACUGACGCUGAGGAGCGAAAGCGUGGGGAGCGAACAGG
rnacentral:rRNA from 1 species